GGAGUUUGGUCCGUGUCUCAGUACCAAUGUGGGGGGACCUUCCUCUCAGAACCCCUACUGAUCGCAGGCUUGGUGGGCCGUUACCCCGCCAACAACCUAAUCAGACGCAUCCCCAUCCCAUAGCGAUGAAUCUUUGCUUGACGUUAGAUGUCUGCUGUCAAGAACAUAGGGGAAUUAAUCCGACUUUC
rnacentral:rRNA from 1 species